UAUAGGUUAGACGUUGGAGUGUGAGGGAUGGCUAGUAAGGCAAUAGUUGUGGAAAGAAUGAUUAAGAGGACUGUAGGAAUGGUUAGGAGGGCAAUGAAUGUGUAAGGAUUGGCUAGGUUAGCCAUAACUGUGUGUGAGUUGGAUAGGGUGCUUGUAACUGUAGCAAAGUGACAUGGCAGUGUAAGGAAUGGCUAGGAGGGCCAUGACUGUGUAAGGAAUGCCUUGUUGGG